AAGCUCGUAGUUGAAUUUCGGGGUUAGUAGAUUGGUCAUGCCUCUGGUAUGUACUGGUCUCACUGAUUCCUCCUUCCUGAUGAUCCGUAAUGCCAUUAAUUUGGUGUUGCGGGGAAUUUGGACUGUUACUUUGAAAAAAUUAGAGUGUUUAAAGCAAGCUAACGCUUGAAUACAUUAGCAUGGAAUAAUGAAAUAGGACGUUCGAUCCUAUUUUGUUGGUUUCUAGGAUUGACGUAAUGAUUAAUAGGGAUAGUUGGG
rnacentral:rRNA from 1 species